GGGCCUAUAGCUCAGUUGGUUAGAGCAGUGGACUCAUAAUCCAUUGGUCGCAGGUUCGAAUCCUGCUGGGCCCA
rnacentral:tRNA from 1 species